rnacentral:rRNA from 1 species
AAUCAACGCUGGCGGCGUGCCUAACACAUGCAAGUCGAACGAGAAAGUGGAGCAAUCCAUGAGUACAGUGGCGCACGGGUGAGUAACACGUGACUAACCUGCCUUCGAGUGGGGAAUAACCUCGGGAAACCGGGGCUAAUACCGCAUAACAUUAUCGGGUGAAAUUCCUGCUGAUCAAAAGUUUUUUGCUUGAAGAGGGGGUCGCGGCUGAUUAGCUAGUUGGUGGGGUAACGGCCCACCAAGGCAGUGAUCAGUAGCCGGCCUGAGAGGGCGCACGGCCACACUGGGACUGAAACACGGUCCAGACUCCUACGGGAGGCAGCAGUGGGGAAUUUUGCGCAAUGGGGGAAACCCUGACGCAGCGACGCCGCGUGGAGGAUGAAGUCCCUUGGGACGUAAACUCCUUUCGAUCGGGAAGAAUAAUGACGGUACCGGAAGAAGAAGCCCCGGCUAACUUCGUGCCAGCCGCCGCGGUAA